CCUACGGGAGGCUGCAGUGGGGAAUAUUGGACAAUGGGCGAAAGCCUGAUCCAGCCAUGCUGCGUGUGUGAAGAAGGCCUUCGGGUUGUAAAGCACUUUCAGUGGGGAAGAAAGCCUUGGGGCUAAUACCCUCGAGGAAGGACAUCACCCACAGAAGAAGCACCGGCUAACUCCGUGCCAGCAGCCGCGGUAAUACGGAGGGUGCGAGCGUUAAUCGGAAUUACUGGGCGUAAAGCGCGCGUAGGCGGUCUGAUAAGCCGGUUGUGAAAGCCCCGGGCUCAACCUGGGAACGGCAUCCGGAACUGUCAGGCUAGAGUGCAGGAGAGGAAGGUAGAAUUCCCGGUGUAGCGGUGAAAUGCGUAGAGAUCGGGAGGAAUACCAGUGGCGAAGGCGGCCUUCUGGACUGACACUGACGCUGAGGUGCGAAAGCGUGGGUAGCAAACAGGAUUAGAUACCCCGGUAGUC
rnacentral:rRNA from 1 species